CAGAGAUUUCCGAAUGGGGGAACCCACUAUCUUUAGUCGGAUAGUAUCCUUACGUGAAUACAUAGCGUGAGGAAGGCAGACCCAGGGAACUGAAACAUCUAAGUACCUGGAGGAAGAGAAAGAAAAAUCGAUUUCCUGAGUAGCGGCGAGCGAAACGGAAAGAGCCCAAACCAAGAAGCUUGCUUCUUGGGGUUGUAGGACACUCUAUACGGAGUUACAAAAGAAAGUUAUAAAUGAAGCGGUCUGGAAAGGCCCGCCAAAGACGG
rnacentral:rRNA from 1 species